rnacentral:rRNA from 1 species
CCUACGGGAGGCAGCAGUGGGGAAUAUUGCACAAUGGGCGAAAGCCUGAUGCAGCAACGCCGCGUGAAGGAAGACGGCUUUCGGAUUGUAAACUUCUGUUCUUAGUGAAGAAAAAUGACGGUAACUAAGGAGCAAGCAACGGCUAACUACGUGCCAGCAGCCGCGGUAAUACGUAGGUGGCAAGCGUUGUCCGGAAUUACUGGGUGUAAAGGGAGCGUAGGCGGGAAACUAAGUCAGCUGUGAAAACUACGGGCUUAACCUGUAGACUGCAGUUGAAACUGGCUUUCUUGAGUGAAGUAGAGGUAGGCGGAAUGCCGAGUGUAGCGGUGAAAUGCGUAGAUAUUCGGAAGAACACCGGUGGCGAAGGCGGCCAGCUGGGCUUUAACUGACGCUGAGGCACGAAAGUGUGGGGAGCAAACAGGAUUAGAUACCCCAGUAGUC